GGACCCUUGGCGCAGCGGUAGCGCGUAAGAUUCCAGCUUACGUAAGCUUGUUUCCUUAAGGUCAUCCGUUCAAAUCGGGUAGGGUUCA